AUGACUCGGCCUAAGCGGGUGGGUGGCAUCGGGUUCAUGGAUAUGCAUCUGUUUAAUCUAGCCCUUCUUGCAAAACAAGGGUGGAGACGGAUGCAAUACCCAGACAGCCUUUUUGCAAGAGUUAUGAAAUCCAAGUAUUACCCGCACAGGAAUUUGCUGGACACUGUCUUCGCCUCGAACGCAUCCCCUGUUUGGGGAGGUAUAGAAGCAGGGCUGGAACUUCUCAAAAAGGGCAUAAUUUGGAGACUAGGAGAUGGUAAGAGCAUACAAAUCCAGAGGGACCAGUGGAUUCCUAAAAAAGAGGGUCCUCACACGGCUUCUUUCAUCAGACAAUCGAGAUUGAGAUGGGUGAAUCAGCUAAUGCAUUCGGACAGGAAAGAGUGGAAUACAGAACUUAUUAAACAAAUCUUCCAUGAUUUUGACGUGGAAGAAAUAAUCAAGUUGGCAAUCCCUCAAGCGGAUGUGGCGGAUCACAUCGCCUGGCAUCAUGAGAGGAGUGGAGUCUUUUCAGUAAGGAGCGUGAUACGUCUCCAUCGUAUCUACUUUUCCAAACACUUUUUCCCUUGUUUGGACUCUAACUUGCAUUAUUUGAAUGGAACUAACCCAGACUGA
rnacentral:rRNA from 1 species